rnacentral:miRNA from 1 species
UGGAGGCUUCAGCCGGG